rnacentral:misc_RNA from 1 species
GAAAUGCGAUACGUACUACGAAUUGCAGCUUCCGCGAGUCAUCGAAUCUUUGAACGCAUAUUGCGCCGCGCGGUAUUCCGCGCGGCACGUCCGACCGAGCGCCGCUGCAACGCUCGCGGGCCUCCGCCCGCCGGAGGGCCCGCGGUGCUGGGGCGGCCGGGGCGACCCGGCUCCCCGAAACCCAGCGGCGGCCGAAGCGGCGAGCCCGGCGUAGUAGAACCUCGCCUGGGGGACCCGCGCCGGCCGGCCAGACCGAGUGCUCCUCGAACUUUACAAGAGUUGGCCUCGGGUCGGACGAGGUUACCCGCUGAACUUAA